UAAUGGCACAAAUAAGAAAGGCUGAAGGAAGCCAGCUGGAGGUGAUUCUCACAUGUACAGUGUGUGAAGAAAUUUUCAAAGAUCCGCACCAGUUGGAGUGUGGCCACAGCUUCUGCAUGCAGUGCAUAGAGGGCAUGCUGGAACAUGGACAACCAUCUCCAAUGUUUAACUGCCCAGAGUGUAGAGCAGCCCUGAAAUGGCCACUUUUUCUCCAGAAAUGCGAUGCACUGAACAAGAUCACACAGUUCUUCAAAAAGAAGGACUCUAGUGUGGUCCCCUGUGAUUUCUGCCCUAAUGGACAAAAAAGAAGUGCCGUGAAAACAUGUCUGAAAUGUGAUGCAUCACUGUGUAAAGAGCAUCUCCGUCCCCACAAGGAGCGCAGAACGCUUCAGGAACACCCACUGAUUGACCCACAUGAUGAUUUAGCUAAAUUCACAUGUCGUCUGCACACAGAACUUGUCAUGAAAUAUUGCCCCACGACUAAGCAAUUUGUUUGUCAUGUGUGUAAUAUGGAGAAAGAGCAGUGCAUUAAAAUAGUUAAAUGGUCUGAGAAUCUGGAGAACAAACUAAAGAAAGUCGCAGACAUGCAGUUUGAAGAAAUGAAGAGAAAGCUUACACACUCAGUGGACACUGUCAGGAAGCUGACAGGGGAUACUGAAAAAAUAGUGGGGAAGAUGGAACAAAUGUCGCUGAUGUCCAAAUCUAUUGCUGAUUUUUACCAAACUAGUAUUAUAGGAGCACUGCUGUUCACCAUACUUAUCCUCUGCUUUUACGCCUACAGUUACUCUUCAGAAAGCCAAAGUAUGUCCAGCACUGUGCAGAUUCAACAAACACAACUUCACAAGCUUCAUAUGCGUAUAAGUGACAGCCAAUGUUUUGUGCCUCCAGAAGACAUUGACAGGUCAUCUGACCAAGUGAGAUCUGUGGCGAGCUUCAUGAACAAAAACUCAGCCAACCCUCUGCUCCAAGUGUCUCCAGACCUGCAGUCUGUAGAGCGGGUCACCGACAAACUUUCUCUUCUUCCACACCCCUCCCGUUUUGAUGAACUCCCUCAAAUUCUGACCAUGCCUUGUUUCUCUUAUGGAAAACACCACUGGGAGCUUGAAGUAAAAGGCGCUUGGGACAUUGCAGUAGCCUUUCAUAGUAUUUCACGGAAGGGAAAGAGUGGAGCUUUUGGAGAUAACAAAAAAUCUUGGUGCCUCACACAAAAUAAAAUGGGCGAUCUGUUCGUGUAUCACAACAAUAUGAAACGAGAAGUGUCCAAGACAUUAAGACGAGACCGUGUUACAGUGGGUAUUGAUUUUGUUAAAGGAACCAUCACAUUCUCAGAGGAUGGUAAUAGUCUUUUGCACAGGUUUGGGUCAGCCCAGCUGACUGAGCCAGUUUGCUUAGGAUUUGCACUAAAGUAUGUAAAACCACAGAGUAAAAUUACUUUGUUACGCUCCUGGUAGUGAUGUGCACUCAUGUCCUAUUUGAGUAUACGUGUGAAUGAACAUGAUCUGAGAUAUUACAUAAGUAGUCCUAAUAGAAGGGAUUGGAAAAAAAAUCGAUAUACUUGUACUAAAAUAUAUACAUAAUUAUAUUAAUAUUUUUAAUAGAUGAUCAUGCUAUUAUAAAUACAAGUUGCAAUCAGAUCUUAAUUUAAUCAUGCAACGUAAGCUGUCUCUGCUAAACGUCUUAAAUGUAAAUGUGCACAGUUGAGAUUUUAAAAGUAAUACAAUGGGUUAAAGGAAUAGUUUCAAAAAUGUUAAUUAUCUCAUACCCACCCUCAUACCGUCCCAGAUGCGUAUGGCUUUCUUCUGCUGAACACACAAAAAUAUUUUUUGUGUGAUAGACACUCCAGAGGAAUCACUGAUUCGACUAUGUUUGCGCUGGUAGCGACGCUGAUCAUCAUGAAGUGUCCUCCGUAGAUUCCGAAGUCUCAUCUCAAUAAAUCCACUGUGGGAAACUGGGUCAUAGAAAUGUUCCUGGAUGAAAGGGGGAGGAAUUAUAAAUAAAUAGUUGUCUAUUUCUGGUCUGAAUAGUGCUCCUUGCAAAAAACAGUGUCAAUGGGCCAGAUGGCAUGGUGAUUUUUUUUAACAUUAUUUUGUUUUAAUUGUGUUUAAAUAUGAAAUCAGGAUUACAAUGUACGCGACACAAAAGUUUGACGUGUAAUACUGUAGGAAAAUGCUGAAGCAUUAUAUGGUGAAAUUGUUAUUGCUAACCCUGAAGCAUUAUAUGGUGUUAACUAAUAUCAGAUUUUAAUCAUGCUGAUUGAGAAGAAAAACUGAAAUGGCACUCUUCGUGUGAUAUUGAUUAACUACAUAAAAUGAUAUAAAUAUAUACAUUGUCUAACCCCCAUAUCUUGAAUUAUGUGAUCAUUCACAUGCAUUUAUAAAUGCAUUUGAAUACACUGAAUAAUGCAGUGAAAGAACGCACUCAAAAUGCACACCCGCACUUUCAUCAUGUAACUUUACAUUAUAGAUGCGUGCACUCUGUAGGCACGAUUUGUUUAGUUUUUGAAUUAUACUUGAUAACGUUAAAGCGCACAUCGUUAAAACAAAAAAUACGAUAUUAUCGCAGACGAUAGCUAUAUCGCACACCCCUAUAUUGACCUUAUCGUCAUCAUCAUCAUCAUCAUUAUUAUCAUCAUAACAAGAAAUUACUCAGUACAAAAACAAGCAUAAGGGCUCAUUCUAAGCCAUUUAUAGCUGAAUAGGCUUUCGUCUUGUCUUACUUAGCCUUGUUUGCUGCUCUAAUUCUUUGUCAUGUAGGCUAUGUGAAAUUAUUGUAGGCUACCGCAACUAAACAAUUUUGCAUUAUGGAUUACAUUUUUUUAUCUGUUGAACAGUAAACAUAAACAAAAAGAAGUAAUAAACUCAUUAUUUUCAUUAAUUUUACAAAGUAAACUAUUUGUUUGCAUUUGCGCGAGCAUAUUCACGCAGCGCUGUCUCGCGAGUGCAUGCACGCGCGUUUUUGAAUUCCAACGGUCGAGAAGAGACUGAUCCCCGUCUCUGGCGUCUGCUGAUUUAAAUUGAUGGGCUGACGGAAAUAUUGUUGUGCGGAUUUAACGUUACACUUUAAACACGAAAGAGCCUGAACCGCGACAAUGUCACAAGUUGCCUUACAUCGAUUAUAUUAAACCUGGAAAAUAUUGGAGAAGAUCAAUUGAGUUUUCAGAAGCACAUUACUGUGAUAAAUGCUGAACUACGUAAAAGACAACCCGACUAUACCAACAUAAAAAAUCAAAUGAGAUGCACUCUUUUUAAAAGAGUCGAUUUAAUGACAAAAUCAACACGAGAGGUCAUGGACAUGUUCCCAUUUCUUCGGGUUCCACAACUUCUGCUGCAUGAAGUGAAGAUGCGGAUUGGGAAGGACCUUCAUCUUAAUCUAGAGACUGCUCUUCAAAUUCUGGCCCCAAACAUCUUAAAUGUGGCUAGACAUGGAAGUCAGAGGGAUGUGCUGAACAGUUUACUUCAGCAAAUUGACUCAAAUACAAAAAGAAUCAGUAAAGCCAACUCCGACUAUAGUUUUUCAUGAAGCUUCAAACCCCCUCCAUGCAAAAAGAGCCAGCAUCAAUAUGGAGGGUGUCAACAUUGUGAGCGCAGAAAUGGAUGUGAUGGAGGCAAUGGAGUGCCUCUUUGCUGCUUAUUUCGUAUUCAGUGUGGAAUACCCCAAGCACAUCACUCACACGAUGAAUUUUGUUGAGCACUACCUGUUUAAACUCUCCAGCAGCCAAAAAAACUGUCUGUCCCAGUGCUCAAAAUGUAUAAUCAAUUAUCAUAAUACUUUGAUAUGUCAUGAAUAGUGCUAAUGUAAAUAUGAGGUGAUUGAUGUUAUUCUGAAAUGCUGAUCUGAAUUUUAAUCUAUAUAUUCACAUUCUUUAUGAGUGAUAUUAAUAUGAAUUUGUAUAUUUAAAGUACUUCUAUAUCUGUAUAUUUCCAUUGUGAGUUAUAUUAAUAUGUAUUUGUAGUUUUGAGGGACUUGAUGUUGUUCUAACACUAAUGGGAAUUUAGAUGAAUCUGUAUAUUUGCAUUAUUUAU